UGGGGAAUCUUGCACAAUGGGCGCAAGCCUGAUGCAGCAACGCCGCGUGAGUGAAGAAGGCCCUUGGGUCGUAAAGCUCUUUCGGCUGGGAAGAAGGGUUCUAGGGUAAACAAUCCUGGGAUUUGACGGUACCAGAGUAAGAAGCACCGGCUAAUUCCGUGCCAGCAGCCGCGGUAAUACGGGAGGUGCAAGCGUUGUUCGGAAUGACUGGGCGUAAAGCGCACGUAGGCGGGUCUUUAAGUCGAUUGUGAAAGCCCUGGGCUUAACCUGGGAAUUGCAGUCGAAACUGGAGAUCUUGAAUGCCCGAGAGGUUGAUGGAAUUCUUGGUGUAGGAGUGAAAUCCGUAGAUAUCAAGAGGAACACCGGAGGCGAAGGCGGUCAACUGGUGGUGCAUUGACGC
rnacentral:rRNA from 1 species